rnacentral:lncRNA from 1 species
CAUGUAUACCAGGUAGAUUGCGAAACAAAGGUUUCUAAUGCCUUGAAAAUUCAGAAAUACGACAAAGCCAUAGUAUUUCAAGAUAGAAAAAUCAGACUUCAUAAUAUACAGUUAGGGGAAAACAAUUACUCCUACUUGCACAACCUUGAAAUCCACAAUGUUCCCACUCUAUUACAACAACUUUACUAAGGUGUUUGGAGACAUGACAAUGUACACAUAAAUACUGGAGUAUGAGUUUUUGCUUGAUAUUACAUGCAGAGACGCUCAUAUCUAGGCUGCAUGUCAAAACACAGGAAAUAAGAAAGAAUUAAAUAUAAGAAAUUGACGGAUUCUUAAGAUAUAGAGGAUGUUAAACAUCUUCUUUCACCUUUCAAUCAAGUUGCAAAAUAUAUAAUCUUGUUUCAAAUAGAACUUAUUGAAGCAUGACUUAUUUCAUUGUAUUCUUAUUAUGCUCUUUAUUCAUGUAGUAUUUUUGUCCUUCCUUUGUGUCAAGAAUUACAGGUUGUUCACUUAGUAGUUAGUACAUAUCUUAAUCAAACAUAGUUUUCUAGCAUAAAAUUCUUCAAACUUACUGAAAAGUUAGUUUUUCAAAUUGUAGAUUCUCAAACUUCGAUGGUAUGUUCUCAUGGAAGUGGGAGAAUGAAAACCUUGACAGAAUAAUAUUUUUUUAAGUUAAGACGCGCAAAAUUGUAAAAACAUAAGAACAGAAAUUCAGAAAUGUGUUUAAAAGAAUAUCUUGAUGAAGAUGUAUAUCACAAAUUAUACAAAUUUAUGAGAAGUAGCAAUGAGAUAUUGAUUUGUGCAUGUUAUUAUAUUACAUAAUAAAACCAUUAAUACGAUAGUAAAAGAAUUUCUUACCAGGAACAAUUGAAUUCUUUUUUAUAUCCAAAGGAAACUUGAGUUGUUGUUGUCCUAAGAGGUA